rnacentral:rRNA from 1 species
GACGAACGCUGGCGGCGUGCUUAACACAUGCAAGUCGAACGGUGAAGCGCUUGCCUUUUUGGUGGGUGUGGAUGAGUGGCGAACGGGUGAGUAACACGUGAGUAACCUGCCCUCUUCUUCUGGAUAACCUCAUGAAAGUGGGGCUAAUACGGGGUAUUCCGGGUCUGUCGCAUGGCGGGUUUGGGAAAGAUUGCGCCUUUGGGUGUUUUCGGUGGGGGAUGGGCUCGCGGCCUAUCAGCUUGUUGGUGGGGUGAUGGCCUACCAAGGCGGUGACGGGUAGCCGGCCUGAGAGGGUGGACGGCCACACUGGGACGGAGACACGGCCCAGACUCCUGCGGGAGACAGCAGUGGGGAAUAUUGCACAAUGGGCGCAAGCCUGAUGCAGCGACGCCGCGUGAGGGAUGGAGGCCUUCGGGUUGUGAACCUCUUUCGCCAGUGAAGCAGGCCUGCUCCUGUGUGGGUGGGUUGACGGUAGCUGGAUAAGAAGCGCCGGCUAACUACGUG